UGGCGAACGGGUGAGUAAUACAUCGGAACGUACCCAAUAGUAGGGGAUAGCCCGGCGAAAGCCGGAUUAAUACCGUAUAAGACCUGAGGGUGAAAGCGGGGGAUCGUAAGACCUCGCGCUACCGGAGCGGCCGAUGUCAGAUUAGCUUGUUGGUGGGGUAAAAGCCUACCAAGGCAACGAUCUGUAGCUGGUCUGAGAGGACGACCAGCCACACUGGGACUGAGACACGGCCCAG
rnacentral:rRNA from 1 species